rnacentral:rRNA from 1 species
UACGUAGGGUGCAGGCGUUAAUCGGAAUUACUGGGCGUAAAGCGUGCGCAGGCGGUCUGCUAAGACAGGUGUGAAAUCCCCGGGCUUAACCUGGGAACUGCACUUGUGACUGCACAGCUGGAGUACGGCAGAGGGGGAUGGAAUUCCGCGUGUAGCAGUGAAAUGCGUAGAUAUGCGGAGGAACACCGAUGGCGAAGGCAGUCCCCUGGGCCUGUACUGACGCUCAUGCACGAAAGCGUGGGGAGCAAACAGG